GGCGGGCGGGGGGUGGGGGCAGGGUGGCGCGCGCGGCUCCCUGAGGCGCCGGAUGGGGCCCCUCCCCCACCCCCGGCGGCCGGGCCUCCCUCGGCGGGAGCGGGAGCCGGAGCGGGGCUGGGCUGGGCUGCGCUGCGCUGGCGGCGCCGCCGCCGCCGCUUCCCGGCGGUCGGGCUGCCUCCGAGGCGGCUGACCCGGCAGCCGUGCCGGCAGCGCUCUCCGGGCACAGGCCGCAGCGCCCCGACCCGUUCCGCUGGCCUUCUCCGCCGCGCCGCGGCCUUGUAGCGCGUUGAACGCCUUCCCGGGGCUCGCCGGGGCUGCGCGGGUCGAGCCGUUCCCCGUGAGUGGCACGUGCCUCGGCUCGCUGACCCCCGCCGGGUCCCCUGCUGCCGGCGCGGCGGGGGGGGGGGCGGGACUGUGACCGGCCUUUCGGCCGGGGACGGUGCGGCCCGCCGGAGCGGUGUGGGCGAUGGAGGCAUCCAGGAUAUCUCUUCUUGUCCAGACACAAACAAAAAGUUUACGUGAUGGCUUUUGUAUGUGCAGACCAGACCUGUCUGCUGGCAAAUGCAGCUGAGCGUGACAAGAGGAGGUCACCAGGCAUCCUGGGCACUGUGCCGGAGCUGAAUGUCCUGGGAACAGAGGCUGUGGACAGCCACAUUGUGCGACCAUCCCUGGAAGGUGGUGUGGGCAGAGCUUGUGUGCACGCUAUACGUGGUGGGUGUAUCUCUGCGGCUUUGUGUCAGCUGUGUCACCUGGGCAGGUGUUCCUGUGCAGGCAGCUGAAAAGCAGAGUUGUGCUCAUUUACAUCAGAGCGGCUUCCUGUAAGCUCGUGCAGCCAGAGGCUCCUGUCAUGGGCAUGCAGGCACGGUUUCAAACACAGCUUUCCAGGAGUGAAAACAUUCUCAUCUCUUGGACCACCCAAUUCCUUUUAAAUGAUGGGCUUUGCUUUCAGGAAAGAUCUCACCAUUCUCCUAGAAAUCUUGAGUUUUUUUCUUCUUUGUUUUUCCCCCCUUAAAUCACUAAGGACAUUUAUAUAGAACAGGAUGACUGUUUUUUAACUGUUCCUCCAUGUCCCUGUAGCAUGUUCCCAAGCUGAGAACAUAAUUGCAGUGGUUCAUCACAACCAGUCGCACAAGUGAUUAAAUGUCAAAAAAAAAAAAGAUGUUGACUUUGUGUGAAGAGAGGCAGCUCUAACGGAUGGGAGUCCCAUGAAAUGAAGUUUUAGGAUUUUUAUGGUAAUGGACCUUUAGUGCUGAAAGGGAGAAAAAAAACUGCAGUGGGGGCAGUGGUCAGUAGGAGGUGCAGUACAGAGACCUGUGUUGGGAACUGCUUUGAUGGUUAACAUUUAGCUUCAGUGAAACUAAUGGAGAAAAGAAAAUAUGAAUAAAUAGUCUGGAAGGUUUUUUUCCAUUGCAGUGUAGGAGGAAAGGGACACAGUUAACUGAUGGAUGAACAUUUUAUUGUGAGUAACAGCAAUUACAACACUUGUCUGUUGUAUAUGCCUGCGUAUGUGUUGGUGUGUGUAUUUAGAUAGAUGGGUCGGUAGUUAACAUGAAACUGCAGGCAGGUUUGCAGAUACAGAAUGACUUGCUACUAACUGAACAUACAAGUAGUUUCACUUGCAAUGAAUGUUGCCUACUGCUAUAAACUGAGGUGAACUGGAGUGUUUGUAAAUUUAUCCGGCUUUAAUUAUUUGGGCUGAAAUGUUUAAUACCGCAUAUCUGCCUUUGUCUAAUUUUUAACAGAAAUGUCAAGUAAAACAUUUAGCUAUUGCUAAAAGCAAAGAUAGAAAAAGAUGGCCCUAAAUCAUUUUUGAAACAUUUUAUUGAAAACUGUAAUGCCACUAGAAUCUGAAGGAGGGCAGUCAGUAUAUUAUCACUUGCAGGAAACUUCAAAGUUCACCUGAAUUUGAGUUAUGAGCACUGGGCAAAAGAAAAACUGAACUAAACAUGCCAGGUAGAAACUUGUUAGCAUUUGAUGGCUCUGUUCACUCAGGAUUACAUACCCACUCUUGUCCUUUUCCCCAUACAAACUACCUAGACUCAGCUAGAUUUGCCGAAAGCUUCCC